AACGAACGCUGGCGGCGUGGAUAAGACAUGCAAGUCGAACGGGAUUCCUUUCGGUAGCAAUACUGAGAGGGAUUUAGUGGCGAACGGGUGCGUAACACGUGGGGAAUCUGCCGAGAAGUGGGGGAUAGCUCGUCGAAAGGCGAAUUAAUACCGCAUAUGAUCAGGGAAGACAUCUUUCCAACAUCAAAGCCGGGGCAACCUGGCGCUUCUUGAUGACCCCGCGGCCUAUCAGCUAGUUGGUGAGGUAACGGCCCACCAAGGCUAUGACGGGUAGCUGGUCUGAGAGGACGACCAGUCACACUGGAACUGAGACACGGUCCAGACACCUACGGGUGGCAGCAGUCGAGAAUUUUUCUCAAUGGGGAAACCCUGAAGGAGCGACGCCGCGUGGAGGAUGAAGGCUUUCGGGCGUAAACUCCUGUCAUUUGAGAACAAGUGUAGCUAAGUAACUACUGGCUACUUGAUAGUAUCAGAAGAGGAAGGGACGGCUAACUCUGUGCCA
rnacentral:rRNA from 1 species